rnacentral:rRNA from 1 species
CGGACGGGUGAGUAAUGUCUGGGAAACUGCCUGAUGGAGGGGGAUAACUACUGGAAACGGUAGCUAAUACCCCAUAACGUCGCAAGACCAAAGAGGGGGACCUUCGGGCCUCUUGCCAUCGGAUGUGCCCAGAUGGGAUUAGCUAGUAGGUGGGGUAACGGCUCACCUAGGCGACGAUCCCUAGCUGGUCUGAGAGGAUGACCAGCCACACUGGAACUGAGACACGGUCCAG